UACGGAGGGGGCUAGCGUUGUUCGGAAUUACUGGGCGUAAAGCGCACGUAGGCGGCUUUGUAAGUUAGAGGUGAAAGCCCAGGGCUCAACCCUGGAAUUGCCUUUAAGACUGCAUCGCUUGAACAUCGGAGAGGUAAGUGGAAUUCCGAGUGUAGAGGUGAAAUUCGUAGAUAUUCGGAAGAACACCAGUGGCGAAGGCGACUUACUGGACAGGUAUUGACGCUGAGGUGCGAAAGCGUGGGGAGCAAACAGG
rnacentral:rRNA from 1 species